GUGAAUCAUCGAAUUUUUGAACGCAAAUUGCGCCUUUUUCGGAAGGCAUGUCUGUUUGAGGGCACCAUUUAACAAAUAAUGUGCACCGUUUUGUGUGUGUACACGUUGAUGAGCUUUCCAGGAAAAAUUUUUUUUUUUUUUUUUUUUUUUGGGGGCGCAAAAUGAACAGCGCGAAACCUUUUUUUUCAUUUCGGGUGUGUUAAAAUUUUUGCUUGGGUUGGGAAAAGCAAUGAG
rnacentral:misc_RNA from 1 species